GGUGGAAUGGCAGAGCGGUUGAAUGCGGCAGUCUUGAAAACUGUUGUAGGUUUGUAGCCUACCCGGGGUUCGAAUCCCUGUUCCACCGCCA
rnacentral:tRNA from 1 species